CCUGCUCAGGAUUAACGCUGGCGGCGUGCCUAAUACAUGCAAGUCGAGCGAAUGGAUUAAGAGCUUGCUCUUAUGAAGUUAGCGGCGGACGGGUGAGUAACACGUGGGUAACCUGCCCAUAAGACUGGGAUAACUCCGGGAAACCGGGGCUAAUACCGGAUAACAUUUUGAACUGCAUGGUUCGAAAUUGAAAGGCGGCUUCGGCUGUCACUUAUGGAUGGACCCGCGKCGCAUUAGCUAGUUGGUGAGGUAACGGCUCACCCAAGGCAACGAUGCGUAGCCGACCUGAGAGGGUGAUCGGCCACACUGGGACUGAGACACGGCCCAGACUCCUACGGGAGGCAGCAGUAGGGAAUCUUCCGCAAUGGACGAAAGUCUGACGGAGCAACGCCGCGUGAGUGAUGAAGGCUUUCGGGUCGUAAAACUCUGUUGUUAGGGAAGAACAAGUGCUAGUUGAAUAAGCUGGCACCUUGACGGUACCUAACCAGAAAGCCACGGCUAACUACGUGCCAGCAGCCGCGGUAAUACGUAGGUGGCAAGCGUUAUCCGGAAUUAUUGGGCGUAAAGCGCGCGCAGGUGGUUUCUUAAGUCUGAUGUGAAAGCCCACGGCUCAACCGUGGAGGGUCAUUGGAAACUGGGAGACUUGAGUGCAGAAGAGGAAAGUGGAAUUCCAUGUGUAGCGGUGAAAUGCGUAGAGAUAUGGAGGAACACCAGUGGCGAAGGCGACUUUCUGGUCUGUAAC
rnacentral:rRNA from 1 species